UUAUUUUUUUAAGGUCUAACCUGCCCAGUGAUUUAUUAAAUGGCCGCAGUAUUUUGACUGUGCGAAGGUAGCAUAAUCAUUAGUUUUUUAAUUGAAAGCUUGUAUGAAUGGUUGGACGAGAUAGUUUCUGUCUCUAAUUAAAUGUUAGAAUUUAAUUUUUUAGUUAAAAAGCUUAAAUUUUUAUAAAAGACGAGAAGACCCUAUAAAGCUUUAUACAUUUUUAUAUUAAAUUUUUUAUGAUUUUUUAUUUAUUUAAUAUAUGAGUUUAUUUAAUUGGGGAAAUUUAAAGAUUAAAAUAAUUCUUUAUUUUUUAAAACAUUAAUUUAUGAAUAUUUGAUCCAUUAUUAUUGAUUAUAAGAUUAAGUUACUUUAGGGAUAACAGCGUAAUUCUUUUGGGGAGUUCAUAUCUAUAAAGGAGUUUGCGACCUCGAUGUUGGAUUAAAAUUUAAUUUGGGUGUAGA
rnacentral:rRNA from 1 species